rnacentral:tRNA from 1 species
GGCAUGGUGGCUCAGUGGUUUUUUAUAGCACCCGCCUCAUGAACGGGAGGUCGUGGGUUCGAACCCCGGCCGAGUCA